rnacentral:rRNA from 1 species
GAGUUUGAUCCUGGCUCAGGAUGAACGCUGGCUGUGUGCCUAAUACAUGCAUGUCGAACGAAGCACUUGUGCUUAGUGGCAAAUGGGUGAGUAACACGUACUUAAUCUACCUUUAAGAUUGGAAUAACAUUUGGAAACAACUGCUAAUACCAAAUAUGUAAUCAUUUCGCAUGAAUUGAUUAUAAAAGAAGCGUUUGCUUCGCUUAACGAUGAGAGUGCGUUACAUUAGAUAGUUGGUAAGGUAAUGGCUUACCAAGUCAAUGAUGUAUAGCGGGGUCGAGAGGCUGAACCGCCACACUGGGACUGAGAUACGGCCCAGACUCCUACGGGAGGCAGCAGUAGGGAAUAUUCCACAAUGAACGAAAGUUUGAUGGAGCGACACAGUGUGCAGGAU